UACGUAGGCAGCGAGCGUUGUUCGGAAUUACUGGGCGUAAAGGGCGCGUAGGCGGUGUGUCAAGUCAGGCGUGAAAGCCCCGGGCUCAACCUGGGAACCGCGCUUGAGACUGGCACGCUCGAGUUCGGGAGAGGAUGGUGGAAUUCCCAGUGUAGAGGUGAAAUUCGUAGAUAUUGGGAAGAACACCGAUGGCGAAGGCAGCCAUCUGGACCGACACUGACGCUGAGGCGCGAAAGCGUGGGGGAGCAAACAGG
rnacentral:rRNA from 1 species